rnacentral:tRNA from 1 species
GCGCUCGUAGCUCAAUGGAUAGAGCAUCGGCCUUCUAAGCCGAGGGUUCCGAGUUCGAGUCUCGGCGGGCGUACAA